rnacentral:rRNA from 1 species
AGAGUUUGAUCAUGGCUCAGGACGAACGCUUGCGGCGUGCCUAAGAAAUGCAAGUCGAGCGGACCAGGAGGUGCAAACUGGGAAGUGGGCAGUUACUUUUCACUUUCCACUUUCCACUUUGCACUUUCUGGUUAGCGGCGAACGGUCGCGUAACACGUAAGCAACCUGCCCCAAAGACCGGGAUAGUCCUCCGAAAGGGGGCUUAAUACCGGAUGUGGUGAUGGUAUUGCAUGGUAGCAUCAUUAAAGCAGGGAACUGGCUUUGGGAUGGGCUUGCGGCCUAUCAGCUAGUUGGUGUGGUAACGGCGCACCAAGGCGACGACGGGUAGCUGGUCUGAGAGGAUGGUCAGCCGGACUGGGACUGAGAUACGGCCCAGACUCCUACGGGGGGCAGCAAUUAGGAAUCUUGCGCAAUGGGGGGAACCCUGACGCAGCGACGCCGCGUGCAGGAUGGCGGCCUUCGGGUUGUAAACUGCUUUUAAGAGGGAAGAAGAUCUGACGGUACCUCUUGAAUAAGCCCCGGCUAACUACGUGCCAGCAGCCGCGGUAAUACGUAGGGGGCGAGCGUUGUCCGAAGUUACUGGGCGUAAAGCGCGCGUAGGCGGGCUGUUAAGUUGGGUGUGAAAUCUCUCGGCUCAACCGGGAAACCGCAUUCAAAACUGGCAGUCUUGAGCUAUGGAGAGGUGAGUGGAAUUCCUGGUGUAGCGGUGAAAUGCGUAGAUAUCAGGAGGAACACCCGUGGCGAAGGCGGCUCACUGGCCGUAUGCUGACGCUGAGGUGCGAAAGCUAGGGGAGCGAACGGGAUUAGAUACCCCGGUAGUCCUAGCCGUAAACGAUGGAUACUAGGUGUUAGAGGUAUCGACCCCUCUAGUGCCGCAGCUAACGCAAUAAGUAUCCCGCCUGGGGAGUACGGCCGCAAGGUUGAAACUCAAAGGAAUUGACGGGGGCCCGCACAAGCGGUGGAGCAUGUGGUUUAAUUCGUCACUAACCGAAGAACCUUACCAGGGUUUGACAUCUGCUGAAAGCGCCUGAAAGGGAUGCCUUCUCCUGAGAGGGGGACAGCAAGACAGGUGUUGCAUGGCUGUCGUCAGCUCGUGUCGUGAGAUGUUGGGUUAAGUCCCGCAACGAGCGCAACCCUCAUCCGAUGUUGCCAGCGGGUAAAGCCGGGAACUCUUCGGAAACUGCCCGUGCAAGCGGGAGGAAGGUGGGGAUGACGUCAAGUCGGCAUGGCCCUUACGCCCUGGGCUACACACAUGCUACAAUGGACGUUAAACAAAGGGAACCGAAGCCGCGAGGCUGGGGGAAUCUCAAAAAUAUGUCCUCAGUUCGGAUCGCAGUCUGCAACUCGACUGCGUGAAGUCGGAAUCGCUAGUAACCGCAGAUCAGCGAAGCUGCGGUGAAUACGUUCCCGGGCCUUGUACACACCGCCCGUCAAGUCACCUGAGUUGUCUGCACCCGAAGUCGAUGGCCUAACCUGCAAGGGGAGGAGUCGCCGAAGGUGUGGGCGGUAAGGGGGACUAAGUCGUAACAAGGUAACC